UCAGGUUAUCCCCUCCUCUCCCCGCCGCUGCCCACGACGGCAUCUCCUCCCUCCUCGCUUCCCUUCACGCCGAUGUCGCCGCCUAUGCCUCCGUGUCUCUCGCCCGCCUCUUGGCUGCCCGCGCCGAUCCUCUCGCCCGUGACAACGGAUCCUCCCCUCCCCAACAUCUCUCGCGACCUAGGCGAGUCCUCCCGACACCGUCGCCGGUUAUAGCAACCGGAGCAGCGAUGCCCGACAACUUGCCCGGUGAAACUGGAGAGAGACAAUGAUUAUAUGGGCAUGGCAUGAUGCAGAUUUUCCCAGCGGAGCUGAGGAGAGGCGAAGAAGACAGUGGACAUGAUGCUCCUGCGCGUGGAGCUCCUCUGCACCACUCCACGACCCAUCUUCUUUUCGCUGCGAGCCAUCCGGUAAACAAGCCCGUGGCCACUUUGCCGCAGGCGGACACGAUGCUACUCGGUGCACAACCCGCAGUGGGCGCUGAAGGUGUUCCGAAGAGCAAUGGAGGGGGCGGAUCCAGCGCACGUCACGGUGUUCUUCAGUCAGCCUCGCUGACCAGUUGCAGGCACACCGUGACAUGCCGCUCGAGGAGUACCAGGAUAAUCAAUUUGGGGUUAAUACAAGGUCCACGCCUCCCUAACAAUUCGUAUUAUAGAUGUAUGCAUGUGCUAAGAUUUUUCUUGCCUUGUUCUAAUUUUGAUGGCUGGCAGUCAAGUGUCUAUUCUCGAGAUUGGAUGGACUCUCAUUCCAACAUUUUCCUUGUGGUUGUUCUUGGGCUACUAUUAAAUGAGUGGUAUGUGCUUGCUGUUCAUUCUUUUAUGUAUAUCGACAUCAUGGAUUGAGACCAUAUUUACUCUAUUUUUAUUCAUGAUGUUCUCUCUACUCAAAAAAAUGAAUGGAAGUUCUCCAGCUUGAUGUAUUCAAGCUCGGUUGUGAUAGAUUGGCCUGGUUCUGCUGGGUUGUAAUGCGAGGCACUGAUUUCUACUUUAAUGUUUUUUUCCAGAGAGUAUUAUGUUUGAAUGCCCACGUCAUCCUUGUUGAAAGUGCAAAUGACUACAAUGUGACAUUCUUUUUUUAAUACCAAAAAGUUCAAAGCUUUAUAAAAAAAAUUGAAACAUAAUUGCUUUGGCAUGUUCAAAAGUAUACUGCAAUACUAGUAAUUUCAGUGCCCAUUCUGAAGUGCCAAUAUCUGAAUGCUAAAUCUGAACUAACAAGCUCCAACAUGCAAAAUUGGCAUGACAUCGAUCUUUAGCAGUCUCUAGAGGCACUAGAACAUGACAAGAACUUUUUCUAUUUAACAUUCUAUUGCUCAUUUUCCUACUUUUAUAUCGGAAGCUAACCAAAAUUUGGGUGGUUGAUAUUUUUACCUACUCUAUAUUUUCUAGCUUGACGGAUUUUGAAGGUGAGGUACUGAUUUUUACAUUAUUUCAUUGGUGGGCUAUGUUUUGUAUGGACUCGUAAGAUUUUUUUUUCCUCACCACCUGAUGUUAUAUACUUUGUGGUAUUGAGAAGCCACAGUACGGAACCAAAGCUUUGAACUGUAGUUUUCCUACUUAAUAUUCAUUGCUAAAUUUCUCAUUUUAUCAGUAGUUGAAUCUCUAUUUUGUUCUUGUGUAAAAAAGGUGCUUCAGUACUGCCCUUUGUAUGCAAUAGGGAAAUGGUCUCUUUGUUCAUCAUGAGAAACAAUAGUUUAAAAUUUAGAAAUGCUUAUGGAGAUUACAAUAUUAGUCAUGUGAUCCACAUCGGAAUUUUUAUAUCAUUGCUGAUGCACCAAGUUGUUUUGUGGGCAGAUCAAGAAUGUCUACCGCGUGUUGGGUCAAGGUGACAGAACACAAUUCAUCCCAUUAUCACUAUGGGUGUAUGAUGGUAUAGUUGUAAGUUAGGAUUUAUAAUACAUGAAAAAAUUGAUUGCUCGCAUAAGUAAGAAAUGUAAUUUACAGGAUAUAUAUACUUUUACAAUCAUACCCUUAUGCCACUUGAAAAAGGUGAAGGCAGGUGUUAAUUUAAUGUCGCUGUUUUGAAUCCAUGCAGUGAGUGAUGUUCAUACUUGGCAUUCUUCGUCAGAAUAGUGGUAUGAGGAAAGGCUUCAAAAUAAGGGAACAGAAAUGUUACAGCGUUACACUUGUGCUCAACAUCAUUUGCCAGUAUUCAUGUUAGAGAUAAUUCAGUGACCUUAAUUAUGAUAACCUUGGAUAAUGUCUGCUCCUCGUGAUGAUUGCUAUUCUUCUGCUGGUAUGAAGGCAUGAAAGAACAGGAUAUAAUGAAGAGUACCUUGGUGACGAACAUGCGAGCUAGGACGCUUCCCAGUCAGAAUGCCUGUAGGGUUAAGACAGUUGGCAUAGGUCCAAGUUAUUGAUGAAGAUUUCUGCUGCAAUGUUGUACUCAAAACUUGACCACAAUGGUCAUAAUUUAUGUAAGACAGUAUGUACGGAUGUAAGACUCUUGUUAUUCAGCUUCUGUGU